GCUGGCGUAGCUCAGGGGUAGAGCAGCUGAUUUGUAAUCAGCAGGUCGGGGGUUCGAAUCCUCUCGCCAGCUCCA
rnacentral:tRNA from 1 species